rnacentral:rRNA from 1 species
AGCAUGUGGUUAAUUCGAUGCAACGCGAAGAACCUUACCUGGCUUGACAUCCCGAGAAUCCCCUGGAAACAGGGAGUGCCUUCGGGAGCUCGGAGACAGGUGCUGCAUGGCUGUCGUCAGCUCGUGUCGUGAGAUGUUGGGUUAAGUCCCGCAACGAGCGCAACCCUUAUCCCUAGUUGCCAUCAGGUAAAGCUGGGAACUCUGGGGAGACUGCCGGUGAUAACCGGAGAAGCGGGAUGACGUCAAGUCAUCAUGCCCCUUAUGUCCUGGGCUGCACACGUGCUACAAUGGCCGGUACAAUGGGCUGCGAUGCCGCGAGGCGGAGCGAAUCCCAUAAAACCGGUCCCAGUUCGGAUCGGAGGCUGCAACCCGCCUCCGUGAAGUCGGAGUUGCUAGUAAUCGCGGAUCAGCAUGCCGCGGUCGAAUACGUUCCCGGGCCUU